rnacentral:rRNA from 1 species
CCUACGGGUGGCAGCAGUGAGGAAUAUUGGUCAAUGGACGAGAGUCUGAACCAGCCAAGUAGCGUGAAGGAUGACUGCCCUAUGGGUUGUAAACUUCUUUUAUAAGGGGAUAAAACGAGGCACGUGUGCCUUUUUGCAUGUACUUUAUGAAUAAGGAUCGGCUAACUCCGUGCCAGCAGCCGCGGUAAUACGGAGGAUCCGGGCGUUAUCCGGAUUUAUUGGGUUUAAAGGGAGCGUAGGUGGGUUGUUAAGUCGGUUGGGAAAGUCUGCGGCUCAACCGUAAAAUUGCAAUUGAUACUGGCAGCCUUGAGUACAGGUGAGGUAGGCGGAAUUCGUGGUGUAGCGGUGAAAUGCUUAGAUAUCACGAAGAACUCCGAUUGCGAAGGCAGCCUACGAAACUGCCACUGACAUUGAUGCUCGAAAGUGUGGGUAUCAAACAGGAUUAGAUACCCUUGUAGUC